rnacentral:rRNA from 1 species
UACGUAGGUGGCAAGCGUUGUCCGGAACUAUUGGGCGUAAAGCGCGCGCAGGUGGUUCCUUAAGUCUGAUGUGAAAGCCCCCGGCUCAACCGGGGAGGGUCAUUGGAAACUGGGGAACUUGAGUGCAGAAGAGGAUAGUGGAAUUCCAAGUGUAGCGGUGAAAUGCGUAGAGAUUUGGAGGAACACCAGUGGCGAAGGCGACUGGCUGGUCUGUAACUGACACGGAGGCGCGAAAGCGUGGGGAGCAAACAGGAUUAGAUACCCUUGUAGUCCACGCCGUAAACGAUGAGUGCUAAGUGUUGGGGGGUUUCCGCCCCUCAGUGCUGCAGCUAACGCAUUAAGCACUCCGCCUGGGGAGUACGGUCGCAAGACUGAAACUCAAAUGAAUUGGCGGGG